rnacentral:rRNA from 1 species
UAUCCCUUGAUCAAUCUCUAAACAGGAUCAAAUACUCAAUCUGUACACAAUAAGGCCAAAGAGAUGGUGACCUUCUCGAGAGAUCAACUAAUGGGGUCAGCAUUCAUUGCAUCUGGCAUUGUAUUAUUUGUGGGUUUCUUCUACGCCGCGGUUGUCUCCAAGCUCCUUACACCAUAUGAGAACCAAAUUAUGUCCGCUAUCCGAAAUGAUAGGUAUUACUGCCUACUCGUGCCCGUGACACUUCCUCUAAUAAUUGUGGCUCUGUCUAUCUGCAUUGGCUAA